CGUCUUCUCGCAUGCUGCCAAAGUCUGAAACAACGCAAAACAUAAAGAAACCUGCAAUUUUUUUUCAUUUAGUGUAAUAUAGACAGUCUGCGUUCCAUUUCUCGACGCAAAGGCCAAGACCAUUGUUUGGAUUCGAGCAUGUCAACGAAUUACGAUGGUUGGGUUUUGAGAAUCGGCGAGCAUCUCGGUGACAUGUUCUCGCAGUAUUGAUUCCAUUUUCUGCCGGAAUCGGAAGGUUAGGGCUAGGGUUUUUGAGUUCUCUAUCUCUUUGUUUUCUUUCAAUUUCAUCUGCUUUAACCUAUCAUGGAGAUCGACUUGGAUCAAUUUCAUUUGCUAUAAUGGUCGGGUUUUUUUUUUCGUAUUCAAUCCAAUCCAAACCGGGUUUAGAUUUGCUGGAUAA